GAGUGAGCUCGGACACACACAGAGAUAAUACACGGCACCUUCACGUAUGGCGGUUCAGGUGGUGAGUUGCAUCAUUCAAAGAAGGCCCCCACUUUUAGAGAAUUCCAAUAACUUCAAUAAGGACCAAAUCCACUGUUUGGAGGAUAAAAUCAACCCAAUCGGUGUUUGGAAGGUCAAGUGACAUUUGGGUAGAAGGAGAAGGAAUGCUUCAUGCUCUGUAUUUUAGAAAGGACAGUGAUUGCAAUUGGACUCUCCGCUACAAUAACCGACACGAUGAAGCCGAAACUUUCAAGCUCGAGAAACACAGAAACAAACCUUCUUUCCUCUAAGUCACACAAGGAGACACGACUGCUGUCCUUGCUGCAUAUUUACUUAUAUUUCACAUUACCAAACAAUUAAUAAUAAUAAUUUACCGAACUUAUAUAUAAUAAUGCUUUAAUUUGUUUUCAGUUGAGAUUUGGACAACUAAACAAGGACAAUAGCAACGCCAGGGUUUUUGAGCAUUCGGGCAAGUUCUAUUCCGUUUCAGAAAACUUUGUACCCCAUGAGAGUGACAUUUUCACAUUACAAACAUUAGGCAAUUGGGACGCUUGUCGAAAUUGGGACAGAUCUUUUGCCAGCCAUCCAAAGAGAGCUCCAGGCACCGGCGAGCUGACUAUAACGGGGCUCGAUGCUAAAAAGCCUUUUGUUGAAUUGUGCCUGUUCCUAAUAUAAUGAUAAUAGAGAUUUGGAAAGGACAUAAAGGUGGAAUACAAUAUGUUUGAGAAGAAGAGCUUCUGUACUGGAUCUGCCUUUGUCUCUUAGGAAGGAAGGGGGUGGUGAAGAAGAUGAUGGUUGGAUUAUUGCAUUCCUUCACAACAAAGAUACCAACACAUCUCGAGUUUAUGUGGUUGACACAAAGAAGUUUACGAGUGAGCCAAUUGCUAAAAUUACAUUGCUGCAGAGUUCCUUACGGAUUUCAUUGAGAUUUCAUGCCAAUAAUCUCAGGGCAUAACUAGCUUAAGAAUAAGUAGAAAUCAUAGUCCCCGCAAUCAAUGUCUAUACAGACUAUAUAACUCAUCGUUUCUUUCAAUUUCAUUUCUGUAUAUGUUUGUGCUUGUGUUGAUGUCCUUCCCUUGUUAAGAUAUAUAUAUAUAUAUAUACACACACACAUAAACGAAAUUGUUCUUUUAUCUCAAUAGUAAAGUUCCGUUUUCA